ACGUAGGAGGCGAGCGUUGUCCGGAUUUACUGGGUUUAAAGGGUCCGCAGGCGGAUUGACAAGUCGAUGGUGAAAUCUUUCAGCUCAACUGAAGAGCUGCUAUCGAUACUGUUGAGCUUGAAUACAGGAGAGGGUAACGGAAUUCCAGGUGUAUCAGUGAAAUGCUGUAAUCCUUGGGGGACCACCGGUGGCGAAGGCUUUUACCCAGCAUGGUUUUGACGGUCAUGAACGAAAGCUGGGGGAGCAAACAU
rnacentral:rRNA from 1 species